rnacentral:lncRNA from 1 species
AGAAAAAUAUUAAACUUUAUAAGGUUAUGUUCCUCUUUCUAAUUGCAUGCAGGAAUCACAAGGUUUGAUCUGCUUGGAGACUUUGGACGGUAUAACUGGCUUGGCAGUUUCCACAUUGUUUUCCUGUACAACAUGCUUUUUGCUGGACUCACAUCCGCCUGCCUCAUCAACACAGUCACAUGGGCCUUGCAAAGAGAACUCAUCCGUGCCUUUGGUCUCCACAGACUGCCUCGAUCAACCAUCCCUCUCAAACUACUCCUAGCCAAUGGACUCUCAAAGAUUCAUUGAAGACCGGUCAGCUUUUUGAGAUAUAAUUGGCUAUUGAAGCCCUUUACCUUCUGGAGAAGGUUCUGGCUCCCAGUCUGUGGAUUUCUCCAAUUGGACCAGUGCUAUUUUUGGUCCAUUUUAGGUGAAUAGGCACCAAAGCUGUUUACAAACGUUGCCUGGACAAUAUUUAUCGACCGAUGGGACCUCCUAAGUGGGAUUCUGCAACUGCAGGUUUAUGCAUUGUUUACUUCAGUAAUAUUCAAUCAUAUUACUGCAUUUAAUAAAGGGAUGUCAAAUCACUGGACGCCUUGAACAUACGGCAUAUGAGAAAUGAACAAUGGUUACAGAGGACUUUGACAUGCAUCCAGACAGGAGAGCUAUUUCAGAGGAUGACAUCACAGCCAUGACCGCGUUUCCUUUUCCUGGUGGUGGAAUGAGAGUGUUGAGUUCUGUCCUGGUGGGCCCCCCAUGCAUCCCCUUCACUAUUUUUAGUGUCAUCCAAUGAAUUAAAUUACUGUGGGUCCUUACACCACACAGGCAUUGGAAGUCCAGUCUGAUGGGGUUUGUCUGCUUCUAAAUGAAGUGAAGAACCUGAGAAAAGGGAUGAAAGUGGAACAUCUUGGAGAUGAUGUUUGUUGUGAGGAAACAAAUGGGGUUCUAGCUUGUAAAAUACACUUUUUGUAGAGAUUAGGUUUUAAAAUGUAUGUUUAAAAAUGAUGGCUGACGGCGAUUUCAAGUUUUAUGCCAAGACAACUGUGAAUGUUUAGGGAUUUUGUUCCCUUUUUUGUUAUAUUUAAUAUGUGAUUUUUUUAAAGUACAAUAUUGUAUUAUGAAACGCUGACACAAUUAUGCAAAUCUAACUUGACUUCCUUUCAAAAACUUGUGCUGAUGACCAAAAGAAGGGGUUUGGCCCAAUUAAGAACACCUAGUUCGGGCAAUAUGGUCAAAGUUUGGCUAGUUCAUAUGUUUUGGUUUGAACUGUG